UCCUGGUAGCCCAGAUGAUAAAGCGUCUGCCUGUAAUGCAGGAGACCCAGGUUUAAUCCCUGGGUCAGGAA
rnacentral:tRNA from 1 species